UACGGAGGGAGCUAGCGUUGUUCGGAAUUACUGGGCGUAAAGCGCACGUAGGCGGCGACUCAAGUCAGAGGUGAAAGCCCGGGGCUCAACCCCGGAACUGCCUUUGAAACUAGGUUGCUAGAAUCCUGGAGAGGGAUGUGGAAUUCCAGGUGUAGCGGUGAAAUGCGUAGAUAUCUGGAGGAACACCGGUGGCGAAGGCGACAUCCUGGACCGGUAUUGACGCUGAGGCGCGAAAGCCAGGGGAGCAAACGGG
rnacentral:rRNA from 1 species